rnacentral:rRNA from 1 species
AUACGUAGGUGGCAAGCGUUAUCCGGAAUUAUUGGGCGUAAAGAGUGAGCAGGCGGUUUAUUAAGUCUGAGGUUAAAGCGUGGGGCUCAACCCCAUAAAGCCUUGGAAACUGGCUGACUAGAGUACGGGAGAAGUGAAGGGAACUCCAUGUGUAGCGGUGAAAUGCGUAGAUAUAUGGAAGAACACCAGUAGCGAAGGCGCUUCACUAGCCCGAAACUGACGCUCAGUCACGAAAGCGUGGGUAGCAAAUAGGAUUAGAUACCCUAGUAGUCCACGCUGUAAACGAUGACAACUAAAUAUUGCCGCGAGGCAGUGUUGAAGCUAACGCAUUAAGUGGUCCGCCUGGGGAGUACGGUCGCAAGACUGAAACUUAAAGGAAUUGGCGGGG